rnacentral:rRNA from 1 species
UACGUAGGGGGCAAGCGUUGUCCGGAAUCAUUGGGCGUAGAGCGCGCGUAGGCGGCCCUGUAAGUCCGUUGUGAAAGUCGAAGGCUCAACCUUCGAAAGCCGAUGGAUACUGCAGGGCUAGAGUCCGGAAGAGGCGAGUGGAAUUCCUGGUGUAGCGGUGAAAUGCGCAGAUAUCAGGAGGAACACCGGUGGCGAAGGCGGGUCUCUGGGCAGUAACUGACGCUGAGGAGCGAAAGCGUGGGGAGCGAACGGG